rnacentral:rRNA from 1 species
GCAUAUCAAUAAGCGGAGGAAAAGAAACCAACAGGGAUUGCCCCCAGUAACGGCGAGUGAAGCGGCAACAGCUCAGAUUUGGAAUCUGGCCCCCAGGGCCCGAGUUGUAAUCUGGAGAGGAUGCUUCUGGCGCGGCGCCUUCCGAGUUCCCUGGAACGGGACGCCGGAGAGGGUGAGAGCCCCGUACGGUUGGACGCCUAGCCUUUGUGAAGCUCCUUCGACGAGUCGAGUAGUUUGGGAAUGCUGCUCAAAAUGGGAGGUAAAUUUCUUCUAAAGCUAAAUACCGGCCAGAGACCGAUAGCGCACAAGUAGAGUGAUCGAAAGAUGAAAAGCACUUUGAAAAGAGGGUCAAACAGUACGUGAAAUUGUUGAAAGGGAAGCGCCCGUGGCCAGACUUGUGCCCCGCGGACCACCCGGCGCCCUCAGCGCCGGUGCACUCCGCGGGGCGCAGGCCAGCAUCGGUUUUCCCAGGGGGAUAAAGGCGGCGGGAACGUGGCUCCCUCGGGAGUGUUAUAGCCCGCCGCGCCAUGCCCCUGGGGGGACCGAGGACCGCGCUUCGGCAAGGAUGCUGGCGUAAUGGCCACCGGCGACCCGUCUUGAAACACGGACCAAGGAGUCAAGCAUUGGGGCGAGUGUCUGGGUGCCAAACCCGCACGCGAAAUGAAAGUGAACGCAGGUGAGAGCUUCGGCGCAUCAUCGACCGAUCCUGAUGUUCUCGGAUGGAUUUGAGUAAGAGCCUUACCGCUUGGACCCGAAAGAUGGUGAACUAUGCCUGUAUAGGGUGAAGCCAGAGGAAACUCUGGUGGAGGCUCGCAGCGGUUCUGACGUGCAAAUCGAUCGUCAAAUAUGGGGCAUGGGGGGCGAAAGACUAAUCGAACCAUCUAGUAGCUGGUUUACCGCCGAAGU